ACAGUACUGUCUGUUCUAUUCUAACCGAAAGUCCCAACCAGCUAGUUCUCCCACAUCGCCUACAUAAAGAAACUUUGCAGGGUUUAUAUUGCAAAACAGUAACAAUCAUGUUCGUCCCUUCGGGGACAUCCGAUAAAAUUGGAACGAUACAGAGAAGAUUAGCAUGGCCCCUGCGCAAGGAUGACACGCACAAAUCGAGAAAUGUCGCAGAGUCUCGUGCUACCAAAAUAGUCAUGUGGAGUAAGAGGGGUAUGAGUAAAUAUCUAUUUAUGGCUUUGCAGCCAUGUUUAACGAGAAGUUCAUUUUCAUCUAUUCUAUGCACUUUUGCCAGGACCUUAAUGAUCUGCUAAGGCGACGCAGAGCCUUAUGAAUUUAUUAGAACCAUAGCAGCUUGUUGCUCUGGUGCCUUACAAAAAUGGAACGGUGAUUAAGAUAGUGCUGUUCAGACCACCAUGUCCCUGAGCUGAGCUGACUUAUGGGGAUCGCUAUUUUAUUUGAUCAAGAUAUCUGUAUUCCUCCCUUUUUUAAAAUUUUUAUUUAAAUUUUAGCAUUUGUGCCAAGUUGAAUAAGACCUUAUUUACAAGUGCUAGUUGCAAACAGAAAUUCCAUCUGAACUACUUGUGGAACUUACAUUGAUAAAUUUUGGCUGACUCUGCUCAAUUUUACAAUACUUGAGCUUUACUGGUUAGCUCAGUUGUUUCUUUUCUGCGGAACUGAUAUACUAGUUAUAAUGGCAUGGAUGAUAUAUCUUGAUUAUCUUUAAAAGAACUGAAACUGAACGACUGUCAAUGGAUCAAGGUAUAUGCAGAGAUCCUAGAUCUUCUGUGUACAAUGUUUAACUCUCAGAUUAGGGUAAAAUUUGGCAUGACUGGUAACUUCUAGUUUCACCGCUUUUACUGUAGGAGUAAUCACUUUUUGCUAUUUUAACAAAAUUUACUAAAAGAGUUAUCACUUGAAUUGGUUCUGUGAUUCAGUGCAUGAACUAAAUCUUUUUGAGGUCCUUCUCUUUUAGGUUUUCAGUUCUUCUUGGGUUAGGCUUGGCAUUCAUCAGAUACAAUUGCUAGAGGAACUUGUUCUUCUGCCCGUGGCUUUACUCAAAUAAUUCAAUUCAAGCUUGUGGAGGAGUCGGAACCUGCUAGCAAAAUUAUGUUUGUGAUGUGAACUAUAACUUCCCGAGUUUUGAACCUGACUGGUGGAGCUUCUUUCGUUCGAGGAGCUUCGUGUGAUCAGUCACAGACUACAGUCUAAUUGGAAGCUGGAAUUUCUCACAUUGUAUCUCGGUUUUGCUAGCCGUCACGUUGGUUUAUAACGUGUGCAGUGGCCAACAACAUUUUUCUGUUGUUUGUAAGCCUCUAAUCUUUGUUUGUAACAGUUAUCGUCAUGACUUGUGAAACAGUGCCUUUGCGUUAGCUUUCUAGAGCGAUUUGCUUUUAAAAUAUCGUGUAAAGCUUUUCAUUUUACUUUGUUAAAGCUUGUAAAUAGGUUCAUGAGAUUUGCUCAUUCUGUAAAUUCUUAUUUUUUGGCAAUAAACAAUGUUGUAAAUUUUCUUCUCAUUACAAUAUGAUACUUUUCAAGUCAUUUAAA